GGUCUGAGAGGAUGAUCAGCCACACUGGGACUGAGACACGGCCCAGACUCCUACGGGAGGCAGCAGUGGGGAAUCUUAGACAAUGGGCGCAAGCCUGAUCUAGCCAUGCCGCGUGAGUGAUGAAGGCCUUAGGGUCGUAAAGCUCUUUCGCCUGUGAAGAUAAUGACUGUAGCAGGUAAAGAAACCCCGGCUAACUCCGUGCCAGCAGCCGCGGUAAUACGGAGGGGGUUAGCGUUGUUCGGAAUUACUGGGCGUAAAGCGCACGUAGGCGGACCAGAAAGUA
rnacentral:rRNA from 1 species